UAGGGAAUCUUCCACAAUGGGCGAAAGCCUGAUGGAGCAACGCCGCGUGUGUGAUGAAGGCUUUCGGGUCGUAAAGCACUGUUGUAUGGGAAGAACAGCUAGAAUAGGAAAUGAUUUUAGUUUGACGGUACCAUACCAGAAAGGGACGGCUAAAUACGUGCCAGCAGCCGCGGUAAUACGUAUGUCCCGAGCGUUAUCCGGAUUUAUUGGGCGUAAAGCGAGCGCAGACGGUUUAUUAAGUCUGAUGUGAAAGCCCGGAGCUCAACUCCGGAAUGGCAUUGGAAACUGGUUAACUUGAGUGCAGUAGAGGUAAGUGGAACUCCAUGUGUAGCGGUGGAAUGCGUAGAUAUAUGGAAGAACACCAGUGGCGAAGGCGGCUUACUGGACUGCAACUGACGUUGAGGCUCGAAAGUGUGGGUAGCAAACAGG
rnacentral:rRNA from 1 species